rnacentral:rRNA from 1 species
AGGAGCACGCCGCGUGAGCGAAGAAGGCCUUCGGGUCGUAAAGCUCUGUUGUUAGGGAAGAACAAGUACGAGAGUAACUGCUCGUACCUUGACGGUACCUAACCAGAAAGCCACGGCUAACUACGUGCCAGCAGCCGCGAUAAUA